GUGUUGCAGCCGCCGGCCGAUGCCGCCCAGCUCAUUCGCAGAAGAAGCUGCAGUACAUUGAAACGGAUCGCGCGUGAGAACAAUUAACGGAUGCUUCUUAUGUGCCGGGAGCUAAACGUGUACUCUGCGCUGUUUACAGGUGAUCACUAGCUGUGUCAUGUCAGGAGUGUCGGCAUGGCGACAGCGCAGAGGCAGAAGAGGAGGCGACCGAGAGCGCGGCAGCGGCCAAGCGACCAGAUGGCUGAGCGGCCGCCCGGAAUGACAAACGGAAAAUUGACAUCUGACGGAUUAUAUGUGGGAUUUGCAAACUGCCUGUCGCCGAAUAAACCGCCAAAGAAAACAAGAAAAAACAGAGAAAUGAGGAUGAUGUUGCCACCUCUGCGAGAGCGUCCGAACAACAUCAUGCACCAAAACCUCAGCGAGACUGGACGGGUUACCAGUAGUUCUCUGUAUUGGACAAACUGGAGUCCAAUAUAAUAAAGAACAGAGUACAUUCAG